GGUUUCGCAGUGAUCAUGGCUGCCGUGUGCUGCUCUGGAGACUGGCUGCUGACGAGCAGCUCACAAUAUUUAAUAGCAGUAAACAUCAGAGAAAGCAGGGAAGCGUUCGUGUUUGACUGUGCCAAAGCGGAGCAGGAACCAAAGGAAGCUGAAACCGAGAAUAAAAGUGAUGGAGGGGGCUCUGAGGAGAAGGGCAGUGAUCGGAUCCUCGCCUGCACCAUGUCAGCUUCAGGAAAAUACGCUGCUCUGACAGACGACAACAAACGGCUCAUUCUGUUCCACACACAACCGUCAUGGCAGUGCAUCAGUACGAGGUGGGUUGUGCGGAGGUGCACCUCCCUGGCGUUCAGUCAGGCUGAGGAUGAGCUGUUUGUGGCAGAUAAGUCCGGUGAUGUCUACUCAUUUUCUGUUCUGGAGCCGCAGAAACAAGGCGAGCUGAAGCUGGGCCAUCUCUCGAUGCUCCUGGCCAUAACGCUGUCUCCGGAUGAUAAGUACAUCAUUACAGCAGACAGAGAUGAGAAGAUCAGAGUGAGCCUCCGCAGAUCUCCUUACAACAUUCAGGCCUUCUGUCUGGGCCACACAGAGUUUGUCAGUGCACUCUUAGUCCCUGCUGGACAUCCUGAAUGGCUCUUAUCUGGCUCAGGGGACGGCACAUUGAAGCUUUGGCAUUAUGAGACUGGCCGGAGGUUACAGGGCUUCGACCUGAAGCAGCUCGGCUUCUCACAGAGCUCCGAAACGGACACUGAAAAGGUGACAGAGCAGCCACAGAGGUUUGCUGUAAGUCGGAUAAUCAGUUCUCCAGAUGGACGCCAUGUUGCUGCCCAGUGUGAGAGGUUUCCCUGCAUUCAGCUGUUUGAGGUGGAGGAUGGGUCAGGGGGGCUCCUGACCCCUACCAACAAACUUGCCCUGCCUCAUGCUCCUUGGGACAUGACCUUUGACCAUCAAGGUCGACUCUGGGUCUUGCUGCAGAACAAGGACAACAGCGUCCUUCUGUACACUCACUCACAGGAGUGCUGGCAGAAUGACUCAGAAAGUGCUGAUCUACAGAGAGUAACAGAAGCACUCAACACCCAGUGGGACGUCUUUAAAGACUCAGUGGGGGUGGACAGCCGCUUCAAGCACCUCUACAAGGUCAACUUUGACAACAUGGCCUCGUAUUUGCAGAAGAAGCAGGAGAGACUGCAGCAGCAGGGUCAGAAGGAGGGUAAGAAGAGGACAGGAGGAAAUGGCCCGCAGUCCAACGGGGCAACAAAGAAGAGCAAAAAGGAGAAUAAAAGUGAACCAGUGCCUCCAAACUGCAGCUAGAACCCGGGGGAGAUGCAUUUAGAUUUUUAUGUUAACCCCACUGAUGAUGAACAUUCCAGUGAUGGUUUGGUUGGGGAGAAGAGACAGGAUGAGCAACAGAGGGAGAAAGAGAGGGCGAAAAACAAAGCUUUGGUUUCCAAGCGCCCCACUACUGAUGUCCGACCUCAUUCAUGGCAUCGUCAAUUUGUUUGAGUUCCUCAUAUCUGUCUCUGGACUCUCUGAGUGGCUGGACCAUCACCUCCUCAAUCUGAGGGAACAGCUGCAACACACACAGGAAAACAGCACUGAUUAUCUUAACCAGUUUUUGUAUAUAGUAACAAAUCACCUUAUUCAAACGGUGGGCAACAGUGUUAGUCCAGAGGUUCUCAACCUUUGCCACCUCAAGACCCACCUGUUUAUAACUAGAAAGAAUGAAGACCUACUUCUAGAGGCAAAAGGCAAAAAAAUUGACAAAGCUGCCUUUGUGCACUUUGGGCUUGUAUUAAUGUUGUUAACAGCCUGAAAACAUUUUAUAUUUCUUUUUUAUUGUUAAGUUACUUAUUUUGCUGUCUCAGGCCCACUACAGACCACUGGCUCUCCUUAGUAUAGGUCAGAGGACCACCAACGGAUGUUUCGCGGCCCACUUGUGGUCCUCGGCCACGUGGUUGAGAAAUCCUGUGUUAGUCAGUCAGGAAAGUGUCAUUACUGUCAUUGCUGAGCUGUUGUGUCUAUUAUUCGAUGCUUUUUAAACUUACAUGGGGCACCAAGCCUCGGACUGGAUGCAU